UACGUAGGUUGCAAGCGUUGUCCGGUUUUACUGGGUUUAAAGGGUGCGCAGGCGGCCUAUUAAGUUAGUGGUGAAAACGUUCGGCUUAACCGGAUACCCGCCAUUGAUACUGAUAGACUUGAGUGCGACAGAGGGUGUUGGAAUGUGUGGUGUAGCGGUGAAAUGCUUAGAUAUCACGCAGAACACCAAUUGCGAAGGCAGAUGCCUAUGUCGUAACUGACGCUGAGGCACGAAAGCGUGGGGAGCAAACAGG
rnacentral:rRNA from 1 species